UAGGAGCUCAUGUCCCAGUCUGGGGUGAUGUAUUGUUUCUUUAUGACCUUGCUGGGCUCGUGUCUUGAUCUGACCUCGACACCUCAUUGUGCCCUCUUGUCUGGUAGUCUCCACCUCCUGAACAUUUCAUCUCACCCAUGUUGCCGUUGUUUGGGUCUCCUUCUUAGCUUCAUGGGACAUAGCUCCUUGCACAUUCUCGGCCCCAUCUCCCUCAGUCAGCUUUCCAGGGCAUCACCGAAGCGUCUGCCUUGCUGCUGUGUUAAACAUACUGGUACGACUGCAAAGUCUGGCCUUGGCAUGUACCGCUUGCCAAUGUGAUUCUGCACACUGAGCUGCGGGGCUCCCUUUCUCCCUAACUCCUCUUUCAGUCUUCCCUCCUCGACUACAGAGGUUUAGUCUACCCCAAUACACAGGGCAGAAAGCUUGAAGUCUGUUCUAGAACCAAUCCAGGAAAUCGUCGCCUUUCCUUCUGAAGAGGACCAGCCAGUGAGCCCUCCCUGCCCACCAUCUCUUGUGCUCUCAUCCUGAUCUCAGUUUCCCGUUAUCUUGAAGGAUAACAAGAGCAUCCUCAUGGCUGCCACUGCUGCCUUCACAGCACACUUGAGUAGCUCUUGUUCACCCUGGGGGUUAAACUCUGCAAUCCCUGUUCAUACCCGACACUCAGCUCAGUGUUGAGCACA
rnacentral:lncRNA from 1 species